UGGCUCAGGACGAACGCUGGCGGCGUGCUUAACACAUGCAAGUUGAACGGGACGGAUAUUGAAGCGACUUUCGGAGUGGUGGAUAUAUUGUUUAGUAGCGGACGGGUGAGUAAUGCAUGAGAACCUGCCCUUCAGAGGGGGACAACAGUUGGAAACGGCUGCUAAUACCCCAAAUGCCGAGAGGUGAAAGGAGCGAUCCGCUGAAGGAGAGGCUCAUGUCCUAUCAGCUAGUUGGUGAGGUAAGUGCUCACCAAGGCGAUGACGGGUAGCCGGCCUGAGAGGGCGACCGGCCACACUGGAACUGAGAUACGGUCCAGACUCCUACGGGAGACAGCAGUGGGGAAUAUUGGGCAAUGGGGCGGAAGCCUGACCCAGCGACGCCGCGUGAGGGAAGAAGGCCUUUGGGUCGUAAACCUCUGUUGUAUGGGAAGAAGGAAGUGACGGUACCAUACGAGGAAGUCCCGGCUAACUACGUGCCAGCCGCGGC
rnacentral:rRNA from 1 species